rnacentral:rRNA from 1 species
UACGGAGGGUGCAAGCGUUAUCCGGAUUCACUGGGUUUAAAGGGUGCGUAGGAGGGCAGGUAAGUCAGUGGUGAAAUCCUGCAGCUUAACUGUAGAAUUGCCAUUGAUACUGAUGGUCUUGAGUACACUUGAGGUGGGCGGAAUGUGUCAUGUAGCGGUGAAAUGCUUAGAUAUCGUCAAGAACACCGAUAGCGAAGGCAGCUUACUAAGCUCCAACUGACGCUGAUGCACGAAAGUGUGGGGAUCAAACAGG